GCCCCUCUCCCAUCAGCCUGGGCUCCUGCUGCUCAGAAGCUGAGCAGUCCCGCGGGAAACAGGAGGCCUAGCACUUGGAAAUACCAAACCUGCGUCGGAGCAGUGGACAGAUUGAUAGCUCCAACUGUGGUUUGUAAUGCAUAUCCAUGCUUGGUACUAAGGCUGUGGGACGUCACAUCAUGGACAAGGUGCUGAUGUUACAGUGAGCAACGUACUCAACAACACCCUUGAAGAGAAUUGUAGAAGGAUGCCUGCCUUUACAACCCUGCACCAUGCUCUGAGAACGUCUGCGGAUUGACCCCAUGGAGAUGCCCAUGUGGAGAGGAGCUGAGACCCCCAGGUGACAGCCAGCACCAACCCCCAGAUAUGUGCAUGAGGGAGCUUGCAGGUGAUGCCAGCAUCAGUCUCAAGUCUCCCAGCUGAGGACUCAGUCGUAACGGAUCAAGGGCAGGUUUUC